rnacentral:lncRNA from 1 species
CCCUGGAGUGCUAGUUCCUUGCGAAGGCCUCUUGAUGGCUGAUCUACGCCCCUCUUCAGAUCUCAGGACUCUUCCGAAGCCGAAGAUGGAUAUAGGAGGAUGAAGUGGUGGAAGACUGUGAAAAUCAGAUAAACUCUCUUCUCACUUUCCUCUCUUCUCGAAACCCUAGAAUCGGAAUCGUAGGGAACCCACUCAAGAGACUCACGCCCAAAAGAAAAUAGAUAUCCUCUAUUUCACACACAGAAGGCCCGCCCCACUCACUGUUUCAUGCCCCACUCAUGAAUAAUUUUCACGGUAAAAACAUUCACACUUUGUCAAACAAAAUGGAGGUCUUUUAUGGUGGGCGAUGAGAUAGAGAUCAAGAUAAAGAUAAGAGUUGGUUUUAGUUCAAAUUUAAAACCCUUUUGAAUUUAAACUUAACCAAACUUAUCCUUAUCCACUAGAGCAUUGAGGUGGGGCGAGAAUCCUCUCUUGGCAUGGGAAUUCAUCACUCAAAACCAAAGAGGGCGUGAAAAAUUUCUCGACGUGGUCAUGGGUUGGCGCUAAGGAGAAGUCCAAUCUAAUUGGACUCUAGGUUUUAGUUAUUUGGUUCCAACCAAAUCUCAUUUAGUUAGAUCCAAAUAGAUAUGAGUGAACCUAAUCAAAUUAGAUAGCAAAUCAACUCAAUUAAAUCCUAAUCCAAUUAAAAAUAAAUCGAAUCCAAGUCCUGAUCAAAUCAAAAAUUAAUCUUCCUUAGCGAUUAGGUCAUCUCAUCACCUAAUCAGAACAAACCUAAUUGAAUCCAAUUCAAUUAGACUUGAUCCAAAUCUCAUUACUCAAUCAAAUUGAACUAAUUAACAAUCUAAUUACUAAUUAAUCCUUCUAUAAUUCACUAAUCUUUAGCAAAUUAUUUCAUCGCAACUUUUGCAUAAGAUUAAUCAUCAAUCAUAUUGACGAUUAUAUUCUUGAACGAUUCUCGAUCGUUGAUCAGCCAUCUGAUCAGACACGAACUUCUAUUGUGUGUAACCCCAUAGGUUCAAACCUAAGCCGGUAGCACAGAAACAAAUUUCUAUACUAAUCGAAGUGAUCAUCUAGCAAUGAUAUCUGACAUCCGGAUAGGCCGAAUGAUCGCAAAGCAACAUUCAAGAACCUUUGGCAUAUGAUUAACAUAUAAUUCAUCCUUUUGACCCUCAAUGCUCAAGAUGACUUCAGAGUUAAACUGUCAACUCUUAAUCAGUACAUUCGUAGUAUGUCUUAAUCUUAUAAAUCCUGUGACUCCUCAUAAAGAUUAUCCUGACUAAGAUUUUACUAAAUUGAAACACAUUGUAGCAUUAUCUUCAACAACUUGGAGCGGUCAAUUCCAUCUUAGCUCACACAUCGACUUAGCAAGUAUUUGACUAUGCCCAGAACCUUCCAUCACUGUAUCAGAAAUACAGGUAGUCCGGCACUAAAGCACAAUAAGUUGCUUGCAAGUCACCGUGGUGAUCUCAAAUCAGAGGGACACUUAUACCCAUAUCCUUUGCGAGCUACUCUUGACAGCAGAAUGCUCCUCAGUUUGAUCACGUUCAGUGCAAAUGUACUCCUACAUUUCAUCUGCAUGCCAUACCAAUGUCUUCACAUUUUUUGAUUACGAGAACAACCAACUCAUAUAACAUACAACGAUCUAUACUUCAUAAAACGUUAUCGUCUUAGUAAUAACGUAUCAUUUGAUCGCGAACAAGUUUAAGAACUACACGAUAGAUCCUCCUUUAUCAAUUGAAAGUAGUUCUAAAGAUUUCAUCAUAACAUAAGAGUUCAAUAAAAAAGAUGCACAAUUUAUGAUGAAAAUAUCAAAUAAUUUUUAUUAAUUAAUAAUUCAUAUAUAAUUUAUAAAUAGCACAAUCAUUUACAAACAAACGAUUGGCUUUAGGACACAUUUUUCAAUAACUCUCACUUAGACUAAAACCAAUCGAAACAGUAUCGAAUAUCCAUCUUCUAUUUGUGAUCAUCGAACUCCUUGAUUCUAAGGACUUUAGUAAAUGGGUCGGCCAAAUUCUCCUUUCCAUCGAUCUUCUGAAGAUUGAUGUCACCUUGAUCCACGAUCUCACGGACAAGGUAAUAGCAACGGAGGAUGUGCUGGGUUCUCUGAUAGGACUUAAGUUCUUUUGCUUGAGCGAUGACACCAGUGCUGUCACAAUACAAAAAAAUCGAAUCUUCAACUGAAGGAACCACUUCAAGCUCGCUGAUGAACUUCUGCAACCAAACAGCUUUCUUGGCAGCAUCGAAUGCCACAAUAUACUCCGCCUCACAAACAGAAUUGACUAUAGUGUGCUGCUUGAAACUUUUUCAACAAAUCGUCCCAUCAUUUAGGAUAAAAAUAUAUCUCGAUACCCUUUUGCUAUCAUCAUGAUCCGACAGAAAACUGAAUCUGUAAAUCCUAUAAGUUUUCAGUCAGAUUCUAUAUAAAUUAGCCAUUAGUCCUUAACAUUUUUUAAAUACUUAAGGAUGAUUUUUACAAUCUUCCAAUGAUUCUCACUCAAAUCAGAUUGAUACCUACUUACUACACCUAGUGAGCAUGCCAAAUCCGAUCUUGUACAUAUCAUGGCAUACAUGAUAGAUUCAACUAUCGAGGUAUAUGAGAUUCUACUCAUAUGCUCUCUCUUGUAGAGUUGUCGAACAAUCCUUCUUAGAGAGUAAUUUCAUGACCUAUCAGAAGAUAGUUUUUCUUGAAAUUUUUCAUGCUGAACCAUUUAACGAAGCCAUACAUUCUGAUCGUCUUAUCAAAAUGUAUGUUCCAACUCUGAGAUGCCUACUUCAAUACGUAAAUGGAUCUCUGAAGCUUGCACACCUCAGAUUCAUCUGUGGAUGUGAACUCUUCAGGUUGUAUCAUAUACACCUCUUCUUCCGGUUCUCUAUUUAAGAAAGUGAUUUUGACAUCCAUUUGUUAAAUUUCGUAAUCAAGGUAUGCCGCUAUCGCAAGUAUAAUCCGAAUAAACUUGAGCAUUGUCAUAGAAGAAAACGUCUCGUCAUAGUCAAUACCAUAACGUUGACAAUAUCUCUUGACAACCAAACAGAUUUUAGAGAUCUACACCUUCCCGUCUGCACUCUUUUUUUUAAAAAAAAUCCACUUACACCCUAUGGAUUUUAUCUUUUUAGGUGGAUUAACGAGUGUCUAUACAUCGUUGAUCUUCAUGAACUGCAUUUUGGACUUCAUGGCUUAAAGCUACUUAUCAGAAUCGGAUCUCUACAUGGCAUCCACGUAGGUGAUUGGAUUCUUGUUGUUUUCAUCAAGUUCAAUAGGAUCACCGUCCCAAACUAAGAAACCGUAGUAUCUGUCCGGCUGACGCAGUAUUCUACCGGAUCUCCUCAAAAGUGCCUCUACAACGGGCUCUGAGUUUGAUCUAAUCAAAUCUAGUUCUGUAUUUUCAUUUGUUUGUGUCGGUUUUUCUAUCUGUCAAACUUUAUCAAGUUCAACUUUAGUGGCAUUAGUUUCUUCCCCAAGAAAUUUUUUUUUUCCAAAAGAUAGCCCUAUGGCUGACAAACACCUUUUGUUCUUCAGUAAGAUAGAAGUAAUAAUCCUUAAUUUAUUUCGGAUAUCCAAUAAAUAAAUAUUUAUCUGAUCUAAGCCCAAGCUUAUCUAUUUUUAAACGUUUGACAUAAGUCGGAUAUCUCCAAAUUCUAAAGUGUGAAAGCCCCGACUUACGUCCAGUCCACAUCUCAUAUGGUGUUUUAUUAACAAACUUACUCGAAAUCUUAUUAAGUAUAUAAUAGGCAGACUCGAGUGCAUAUCUCCAAAAGAAGAUCAAUAGACUUGCAAAAUCCAUCAUAGAUCGAAUCAUGUCUAACAAAAUUCGAUUUCUCCUUUCUGAUACUCCAUUAUGUUGUGGUGUCCCAGAAGGAGUCCAUUGUGAGAAAAUCUCAUUCUUUUCUAGAUAUAUCAGAAACUCACGAAUGACGUAUUCACCUCCUCGAUCAGAUCGAAGAAUUUUUAUGCUCUUCACAGUUUAUUUGUCAACCUCAUUACGAAAUCGUUUGAACAUUUCAAAUGAUUCAAAUUUAUGUUUCAUAAGAUAGACGUAUCCAUACCUCGAUAGGUUAUCGGUGAACGUAAUGAAGUAAUAAUAUCCACCUCUGGCAUAUGUGUUCAUUGGUCCAUAUAUAUCACUAUGUACUAGGCUUAAAACUUCACUGGCUUGUUCACUUUUUUCAGUAAAAGAUGAUUUAGUCAUCUUUCCAAGAAGACAGGAUUCAUAGGUUGGCAAUAAUUCACAAUCAUUGACUUCGAAGAUUCUCACUUUAGCUAAUUUGUUUAUCCUGUUCUUGUUGAUAUGACCUAACCUACAAUGCCAAAGGUAGGCAUCCAUGAUAUUAUUUAAUCUAGGAUACUUAUUCGAUGUGUACAUUACACUGAUAGGCCAUGAUAAAACGUAAAUGCUAUUACUCAUUUGUCUAUUCAUCACAGUAACACCAUUCAUAAUGAUAUCACAAUAAUUAUUUUUUAUUAAAAUUUCAUAUCCGUUCAUGGCCGGAAGGCUUACAGAAAUUACAUUCAAUAAAAAAGACGAACAAAAGUGACAAUCAUUCAAAACAAUGAUAUUAAAAUUGAAAACAAGCUCGACAAUUUCUAAAGCUAGAACUAGAACAGAUCUUCCAUCUCCAACAUUCAGGAAUCUCUCGUCGUCUUCAAACCUCCUACUAACCUGAAGUCCCUACAACAAAUUGCAAAUAUUAAUAAGACUUUCAGAAUCCAAUAUACAGAUCGUAGUAUCACAAAUAAAAAAAUUACAAAGUAUUAUCAUAUAAUUAUCUUGAUCAGCAACUGCUUGCUUCUUUCUCUUAUUCGAUCUGUUUGGGUCAAGAGAAGCAAUGCAUUGAAGACAGUUCCUCUUCCAAUGAUCCAGCUUCUUACAGUAGAAGCACUCUGCCUGAUUCUGAUCAGCCUUAGACUUUUUUGUCUGAACGGACUUAGACGCCCUGGCACUCUGCACCCUUUUAUUCUUCUUCCCUUUCUUAAAGGGACAACGCCCAGAAGAGGACCAUCCCACUACAUUCACCGGCUCUUUGUGAAGCUGGUGAUCAAAGCCGGUGAUCCUUCUCAAAAAUUUACAGCAAUCCCAGCAAACCGUGAUAGUUAACUGCAGACUUAGUCAUUCUAUAAUGACUAAGGAAGGAGAGGUAGGACUUAGGCCAAGAGUUCAAAAUCGCAUCUUUCCCAAACUGCUCAUGCAAAAAAAAUUCAAAUUUGCUCAAACACUCGAUCUGUUCGAUCAUGUACAGUACAUGAUCAAUGACCAACGCUUCUUCCCUCAUUCAAGCAUUGAAGACAGCACGACUAAUUUUGUACCUCUCAACGUCAUCAGGAGUACUGAAGGACUCGUUCAACCCUUGCAACUGUCCUCCGAUCGAGCAUCCUCAAACUUGCGACUGAACUCAUCGUUCAUCGCCGCCCACAUGAUACAAUGCACCAUGAUUCGAUCGUUGAGCUAUUUUUGGUAAGUAUCUCGAAUCGCACCACGAGCAUUCGGAGUGGACUCCUCAAGUGACAGAUCUGUUAGAACAUACAAAAUCUGCUCAUGCUCCAGGACGAUGUUUAAUUUUUCAAUAUCAGCUAUCGAAACUAGGUUCCGUCAACUUAUCACCGUCCAACAGUGAUCAGAGCGAUAAAGUACUAGCCAUAACUACAUAAAAGGAAAAACCAUAAGACCUAUUAAUAUAUAUAAAUUAUUUAAGCCUAAAGAUUUAGACUUUACUCUAAAAGUUCUUCCAUUAUUUUAUACGAAUUGAUAGCCUCUACCUCCAAUUUGAGAAAUUGCUUUAAUUCUUUAGCCGGUACUAGAAUUCACACAGGCUGCACACGGAUCCGAGUGUGGCUCGACUAAUCCAUGUACAUCUAUGGAUAGGUUCUUAACCAAUUGCUUCUCCAAAUAAUUUCUAGUAAUUAGUUUUGCCCUAGGCAUCACUUCAGCAAGCAUGUAGCACCUCUACUAAAAAUCCUGAUUAGGUCUAACUAUUAACAUGACCACACUCAGCAUAUCUAACUAACGAAUAAUCGGGCCCAAGUGUGGCUCGGCCAACCUGACCAUCUAUUAGAGAAUCACAAUUGAGUCAUUAUAUAAUGAAUGAUACUUCCAAUAGCAGAUAAGCACCAGACGUAUAGCGCCUCCAACGAUUAUUAAACUAUUGGACCGAUUAUCAUCCACCUUAAUAGGAGGCUAUGAUCUAGUUAUCCUCAUAACUAUUUUAUUUUUAAGAUCUAAUAAUUUAAAAAAUUUAUUUACAUAUUUUCAAAAAUAAGAGAAGAGAUUGAUUAACUAAUCAUAAUGCUUUCACUAACUUCACAAAGCCAUCAAAGAAGACUACAGACAAGCCAGUCCAGAAACACCUAAACUAGUUAAAAUCGAUUUACCUAACUAGCAUGGAUCAACCCGAAUCAUUAAGUAAUCUAAUCAAAAUCAAAUCGACCACAUUGGUUAGGUAAGUGGAGACUGACGGAAGGAUCCUCAUUUCUUUCCUUAGUUAAAUACCAAUGCAGUUGGCCAGAAAAGAGAACAGUCCCAAUUAAAAACCCCAUUCAGUCACUUGCCUUAGACACCAAUCAAUUUAUCUAUUUCGAUUUAAUGAACUUAUAGACUUGGGUUCGACCACUAAGCUAACAAUCAGGUUCAUUUGGACUAAUCAAAAACAUAGACUUGACCAACUACAACUAUUGUAUUUGAUCUAGAGUAUCCUUGACCUAAUCUAAAUCAACUUUUGGAUAGAUUGGAUCAAUUACUCAAUUUAAUCAAUUAACUCUUUGAUUCUAAUCCUAGGUCUAACCCAGUUAAAAAAAUCUGAUUUGAGCUAACCCAUAGCCCCAUAUUUUAUGCAAUGUCAUUAGAUCUUAAAUUCACAAUUCUAGAUCUAAAUGUUCAACCCUUAAUUCUCAAUUAAGUGUAGAAUUAACAUGAAUUUAGGUUAGAUUUUGAAAUCAUUUCAAGUGUAAACUAUUUUACAUUAAAUUUUAUGUAUAAAUAUUCAGUUCCGAAAUUUGAGUCAGCUCACCUUUAGAUUGAGCCGACUCAUCAUAAUGGGUCGACUAAAUUCUGAGACAUAGUUGAUUCACUGAUGAUGAACAGAAACUCUUAUUUUCAGCCUGCACAAACUGGGUCCGCUCAUCAAGAAACUGAGCCAACCCAUAAAGGUUCUGAGUCGACUCAAAUCAAAAUUGAGUCGACUAAGCAUGCUUGACAGCAACACAUUGCAGAAUUUUCAAAACAAAUAUUUUUCCACAACCAGCAAUAAAAUCAAUCAUAAAUCAUUUUUAAAUCUAAUCUAAACUUAUUUAUGAUUCUAGAUUUUAUUUGCCAUGAUUAAAAUAAUUUUUAAAAAAAAAUUUCACGGUUCUUCCUCAUGAAACAUCACAAUGACACUCCUACACAUCAUGAGAGAACCCAUGGAAUGAGAAGAGAUCUUUAAAUCCUACUUGCUCUUAUAACUGAAUGGCCUGAUGAUGCACAAUCCGAAUACUAGGCUACUAAGACAUCUAAUCUAACAUAUCACAUAUAAGAUAGAUUAAUUUCGGAUCUAUAUGCAUAUGGAUUUAUAUCAUGUCGAACUUCGGCUCUGAUACCAAUUGAAAGAAACAUAGGCAGUUUCAUGCAUGCAUUUUUAAAAUUUUUAAUGAAAGCAGACUAGAUUAAACAAUUUAAUCUACUAUGAAUGUAUUAGAUCAGAUCUAAAAACCACCUACUAAAGAUCAUAUGAUAUAAAUAAUAUGCAUAAUCUGAAAUCUUAACACUAUUGAUCAUAUCAAUAAAAUAGUAGAUCACAUCUACGAUCUCUACGAUAAACUAGAUCAUAUCUACUAAGAUCAGAUCUUAUACCAAAGCGCGGAUAGUUGAUCACCGCAACUGACAACCAUGGAUUUGAGGUUCUUCCUGAUGCCGAGCAGCCGCACAGAAUGUCUGACCUCUACAGAACAUCCACACGAAGCCCUGAUGCUGAUUGAUCUCUCUGGAGUGCUAGCUCCUUGCGAAGGCCUCUUGAUGGCUGAUCUACACCCCUCUUCGGAUCUCACAGACUCUUUCAAAGUUGAAGAUGGAUUUAGGAGGAUGAAGUGGUGGAAGACUGUGAAAAUCAGAUAAACUCUCUUCUCACUUUCCUCUCUUCUCGAAACACUAAAAUCAGAACCCUAGGAAACCCACUCAAGAGACUCACGCCCAAUAGAAAAUAGAUAUCCUCUGUUUCAUACACAAAAGACCCGCCCCAUUCACUAUUUCAUGCCCCACUCAGGAAUAAUUUUUACAGUAAAAACAUCCACACUUUGUCACACAAAAUGGAGGUCUUUUAUGGUGGGCGAUGAGAUGGAGAUCAGGAUAAAGAUAAAAGUUGGUUUUAGUUUAAAUUCAAAACCCUUUUGAAUUUAAACUCAACCAAACUUAUCCUUAUCCACUAAGGUGUUGAGGUGGGGCGAGAAUCCUCUCUUUGGCGUGGGAAUUCAUCAUGCAAAACCAGAGAGGGCAUAAAAAAUUUCUCGACAUGGUCAUGAGUUGGCACUAAGGAGAAGUCCAAUCUAAUUAGACUCUAGAUUUUAGUUAUUUGGUUCCAACCAAAUCUCAUUUAGUUAGAUCCAAAUAGAUAAGAGUGAACCUAAUCAAAUUAAGUAG